UCGAAGUAAGUAUAAAUCUCGGGAUUGUCUAUCAUUAUAGUGUAUUCCAUACGGAAUACAUAUACUAAAAUUGGAACGAUACAGAGAAGAUUAGCAUGGCCCCUGCGCAAGGAUGACACGCAAAAUCGUGAAGCGUUCCACAUUUUUGCCAAAACAAAAGGGAGCGUCUGCUUGUGCAUUUCUUGCUGGAGCCAGCCACUUGCAAGUCAUCAGGCGGCACAAUGUGUAGCUGAGAAAGAAGGAAGAUCUGGAUGAGAUCCAUGCCAAAUCAGCCAACUCAGCCCAUCUCGUCACUAGCCUUAAUAACCCUGACCUUUGGAAUUCACCAAUGGUUUCAUUGGCUGAUAACAAAUGGCACACCACACAUCAAACAAUCAUUCAUGUGAGUUAUUUUGGCAUCAAUUUGCCGUAUAAAAUGAUCCUAUUAAUUUUUCAGUGGUUGGAGGACCAGCACUAACUGACCGUAAAGGGAAUGUAGCCAGUAGAAUCUGGCAUUGGUUGGUAACGUCAAUUCAGCAGUUGCUGUGCUGGUGAAAGAGUCAUCCUUUUUUUUGAAAGUUAAACAAGCUGAUCUUCUAUUCUGGCUCAUGCAAGUUCAGUGGAUCCUGUUCCAUUCAUUACCUCUUGCCAGCUAGCUGUCUAGAAACUUAUGGCUUCUGUUGCAGCUGAAUGUUCAUGAUGGCUGUUGUUCAGCGUUAUGUACAUAUAUUUUAGAUGGCGAACUCCUUGGAUUAAUUGAAUAAGAGGAAAAUGUUUCAGUUUUCACAGGGCUUCCAUACGUGUCCUGUUACGCCAGUAGUAAACAACUGCUGGACCCUUUAGAAAAUAUGUUUCAGUAUGGCUUUUUGUCAGUUAGAGUCAAAAUUGGCAUAAUGAUGAACUUUAGAUCUGCAUUCUAAAGCCAAAACAAGAAAAGCGGCUGCCUUAUGACAUUUUUCGACUGUGCAAGAGAUUGGCAAUCGAAAGAGCUAUAGGUAAUGUCGACAUGUUGCAUAAGGCAUUGGUAAUGAUGACCGUGGAAUAAUUUAAUUCCGUGCCUGCUGGUAUAAAAGUAUACACACAUUCAACAUACUAGACACAUUUCUCAUCGACUUUUGCACCAGACACAAGUCGCUCACCAGUUAUCAACAUGCAGAAAAGCUUCGUCAGUUUGAUAUGGCUGGUGGCCGCGGUUACUUCAGCAACUUUAGAUCCGACCUACGUCGUGGAGAAGUCCGAAUGGAUUCCUGCAGCAGAAUUUCCCAUCAGUUACCGGAUCGAUUCUCGUAUGCGUAGGCAAGUUCCUUCUACCGAUGCCAAAGAGGAAACAGCAGCUUCAAUCAAUGUGCCAAUUAUCGACGGUACAAGUCUUAAAGGAUUUGGCAAGUGUUCAGAGUUCUACUACUAGCGUCCGCCAGGGACCGUCAUCCCUCACGUUGCCCAUAGACACGUCUGGAAUUUCACUCAACGCUUGCAUUUUCAUCGGCCUCGAAAUCAAAAUCAUUAUCAACAUUCUGGAUCCGCUUGCCUGCAGCAGAAUUUGCGCUCGCGAUUCCAACUGCACUCAUUUCACGCACGAACCUCUCAAGAACGGCGGCAUCUGCACGCUGCACAGCGCUCCCGGUUUGGGUAAGGAGUGGUCGACUCCCGCGUCC